rnacentral:miRNA from 14 species
GCCGUUGGUAUCUGGCACUGUGGUUCCUGCAUGAAAACAGUGGCCGGCGGGCCUGGUCCUACAAUACCACUUCUGCAGUCACAGUGAAGUCUGCC